rnacentral:rRNA from 1 species
GACGAACGCUGGCGGCGUGCUUAACACAUGCAAGUCGAACGGUGAAGCGCCUUCCUUUUUGGUGGGUGUGGAUGAGUGGCGAACGGGCGAGUAACACGUGAGUAACCUGCCCCCUUCUUCUGGAUAACCGCAUGAAAGUGUGGCUAAUACGGGAUAUUCUGGGUCUGUCGCAUGAUGGGUCUGGGAAAGAUAUUGUUUCGGUGGGGGAUGGGCUCGCGGCCUAUCAGCUUGUUGGUGGGGUGAUGGCCUACCAAGGCGGUGACGGGUAGCCGGCCUGAGAGGGUGGACGGUCACACUGGGACUGAGACACGGCCCAGACUCCUACGGGAGGCAGCAGUGGGGAAUAUUGCACAAUGGGCGCAAGCCUGAUGCAGCGACGCCGCGUGAGGGAUGGAGGCCUUCGGGUUGUGAACCUCUUUCGCCAGUGAAGCAGGCCUGCCCCGUUUGUGGGUGGGUUGACGGUAGCUGGAUAAGAAGCGCCGGCUAACUACGUG